rnacentral:lncRNA from 1 species
CCGCCCGCACGCACGCACGCAAAAUAAAUGUGAGUUUAACAUCUUGAAGUUCAUGUAAAUUGAGCAUGAUGAUGUUGAAGGAGUAUCUCCACAACAAUCUGCAGCAGGGAACUAGUAGCUAAACAAACAAGGUACCAACACUUGGUUGUGAAAACCGACGGCAGCCUCCAUUCGAAAUAUAUGACGACCUAGAAUGGGUGUUGUCAAACUUUCUAAUCUACGAAUAUGGAUAAUAUAUUUACAAACGGAAAAUACCAUCCUUAGAAUUUUCAUGGAAUUUAUAAUAACUAUUUUGAUAGAAACGUGACAGUAAUACUUGCACCUUCGAGGCUUUGGCACGAUGCAAGAUCCAACACAUCAUUUAUUAUUGAGCAGAGGGAAUAGAUAUAUGUGAAUAUAUAUAAUUUUAAGGUGUUAGUUCAACGUGACAUGACUCAUAAUUUUAUGUGCAUGCUAGAUUCCUCAAGGUGAAUUUUAACACUAUUGCAUUAUUUCAUACCAUGCAUGCACAUAUGCAAAAAUAUCCACACACGAAAAUUGUGUUCUCAAGAAAAAAGAAGGAUAAACUACAAUAUUAUUUUCCAUCCUUCUGAUUUUUAUGCUAUUUUUUGUUCUUUGUUUGUGGAAUUUCAUACUUUGUUCUUGGUGAGUAGAGUAUGUGUGAGUAGAUAAUACGCUACUAAAUUUCCCCUUUCUACUUAGGCUUUUUUUUUGUAAGUACUCCCUCCGUCCCAAAAN